GUACAUCCAGAGAACUUUCCAGAGAUGGAUUGGUGCCUUCGGGAACUCUGAGACAGGUGCUGCAUGGCUGUCGUCAGCUCGUGUUGUGAAAUGUUGGGUUAAGUCCCGCAACGAGCGCAACCCUUAUCCUUUGUUGCCAGCGGUUAGGCCGGGAACUCAAAGGAGACUGCCAGUGAUAAACUGGAGGAAGGUGGGGAUGACGUCAAGUCAUCAUGGCCCUUACGAGUAGGGCUACACACGUGCUACAAUGGCGCAUACAAAGAGAAGCGACCUCGCGGGAGCAAGCGGACCUCAUAAAGUGCGUCGUAGUCCGGAUUGGAGUCUGCAACUCGACUCCAUGAAGUCGGAAUCGCUAGUAAUCGUAGAUCAGAAUGCUACGGUGAAUACGUUCCCGGGCCUUGUACACACCGCCCGUCACACCAUGGGAGUGGGUUGCAAAAGAAGUAGGUAGCUUAACCUUCGGGAGGGCGCUUACCACUUUGUGAUUCAUGACUGGGGUGAAGUCGUAACAAGGUAAGCGUAGUGCU
rnacentral:rRNA from 1 species